CCUAGUAACGGCGAGUGAAGCGGCAACAGCUCAAAUUUGAAAUCUGGCCUUCUUUGGGGGUCCGAGUUGUAAUUUGCAGAGGGCGCUUUGGCGUCGGCAGCGGUCUAAGUUCCUUGGAACAGGACGUCACAGAGGGUGAGAAUCCCGUACGUGGUCGCCUGCCUUCGCCGUGUAAAGCCCCUUCGACGAGUCGAGUUGUUUGGGAAUGCAGCUCUAAAUGGGAGGUAAAUUUCUUCUAAAGCUAAAUACUGGCCAGAGACCGAUAGCGCACAAGUAGAGUGAUCGAAAGAUGAAAAGCACUUUGGAAAGAGAGUCAAACAGCACGUGAAAUUGUUGAAAGGGAAGCGCUUGCCGCCAGACUUGCCCGUGAAGGUUCUCCUCCUCGGGCAGGCCAGCAUCAGUUUGAGCGAUCGGAUAAUGGCCUCUGUCAUGUAUCUUCCUUCGGGAUGACCUUAUAGGGGAGUCGUAGUACGGUCAGCUUGGACUGAGGUCCGCGCAUUUGCUAGGAUGCUGGCGUAAUGGCUGCAAGCGGCCCGUCUUGAAACACGGACCAAGGAGUCUAACAUCUAUGCGAGUGUUUGGGUGUCAAGCCCGAGCGCGCAAUGAAAGUGAACGGAGGUGGGAACCCUCUCUGGGGGUGCACCAUCGACCGAUCCUGAAGUCUUCGGAUGGAUUUGAGUAAGAGCAUGGCUGUUGGGACCCGAAAGAUGGUGAACUAUGCUUGAAUAGGGUGAAGCCAGAGGAAACUCUGGUGGAGGCUCGCAGCGGUUCUGACGUGCAAAUCGAUCGUCAAAUUUGGGCAUAGGGGCGAAAGACUAAUCGAACUAUCUAGUAGCUGG
rnacentral:rRNA from 1 species